UUUAGCUCCUUCAUUCUUGCAUUUACUCUGUCUUUCAUGAACUUUUUUUGGUAAACAAAAUCAUAGUCAUAAUGGAUAAGUCCUAUACUAGAUAGUGAUGUGCCCCAUGUUUGAUUAUGAAGCUAAAGAUUCCUUCAUAGGUGGAAAUUGCAUCCUUUGAUGGGUGAAUUUGUUCGACGUAUCUAAUUGCAAAAUCUUGACGUGGGUGUAUCUUAGUCCGUGGAACUUCGAGAUAAUUUUGCUUUUUGAUUGUUAUUUUUGAUACUGAAAGAGACAUGUUCAAUAUCAAUGUAAAAUAAACCUCAUCUUUGUCGUUAUCUUAUCUCCAAUUUAUGCAUUAGCCCAUUUUUCAAAUUCAUAUGUUGGUUGCUGAACAUUUGGCCAUGGCUGUUUUCUGUUACUUGUUCUUGCGAUGUGGUCAGACUGAAUGUACUGCAGAUUCCCCCAAUUUUUGGCAGUCACAAUCCUAUGUGAUGGAAAUACCAAAUGAUUCAGGUGCUAAGAAACCAAAGAGACUAACAUCUGUUGUGUGGAACCACUUUGAAAGGGUCAGGAAGGCUGACAUUUGUUAUGCUGUUUGUGUGCACUGUAACAAAAAGCUUAGUGGAUCCAGUAACAGUGGUACUACUCAUCUGAGAAAUCACUUGAUGCGAUGUCUUAAAAGAUCAAAUUUCGAUGUUUCUCAGCUACUUGCAGCAAAGAGAAGGAAAAAAGAUAAUACUGUCAGCCUUGCAAAUAUUAGUUUUGAUGAAGAUCAGAGGAAAGAAGAGUAUCUAAAGUCAACAGCAAUCAUCAAGUUUGAACAGGAACACAAGAAAGAUGAUAUCAAUAAUUUCUGGACUAGUAAAUUUGAUCAGGAGAGAAGUCGACUUGAUCUUGCACGCAUGAUUAUAUUACAUGGGUACCCCUUAGGUAUGGCUGAACAUAUAGGGUUCAAAGUCUUCGUGAAAAACCUCCAACCUCUGUUUGAAUUUGUGUCCAAUAGUGGUGUAGAGGUUUCCUGCAUGGAAAUCUACAGGAGAGAGAAAGAGAGAGUUUUUGACAUGAUAAACAAAUUGCACGGAAGAAUUAAUUUGUCUGUUGAACGGUGGUCUUCAACAGAAAAUUCUUCAUAUUUGUGUUCAGUUGCGCAUUAUAUUGAUGAGGAAUGGUCAUUACAGAAGAAGAUCCUGAACUUUAUCACACUUGAUUCUUCUCAUACUGAUGACAAGCUUCCAGAAGUGAUUAUCAAAUGUCUUAAUGACUGGGAUAUUGACUGUAAGCUGUUUGCUUUAACACUAGAUGACUGUUCCAUUGAUGAUGACAUCACUUUGAGAAUCAAAGAGCAAAUUUCCGAGAAAAGGCCUUUUUUAAGUACUCGACAAUUACUUGACAUUCGCUCUGCAGAACAUGUUUUAAAUUCCAUUGUUCAUGAUGCCAUGGAUGCAUUGCGUGGAGUAAUAAAAAAGAUCCGAGAAAGCAUUGGAUAUGUCAGAAGUUCACAGGCAACACAAGGAAAAUUUAAUGAGAUUGCUCAACAUGCUGGAAUUAACUCUCAGAAGGCUUUAGUUCUUGAUUGUCCUGGUCUUUGGAACACAACAUAUCACAUGCUUCAAAUUGCACUAGAAUACAAGACUGCAUUUUCUCUCUUCCAAGAGCAUGAUCCCUCUUAUUCGUCAGCUCUAACUGAUGAAGAGUGGCAAUGGGCAAAUUCUGUCACUGGUUAUUUGAAGCUUCUAGUUGAAGUCACUGGUAUCAUUUCAAGCAACAGAAAUCCGACUGCAAAUAUAUACUUCCCUGAGAUUUGUGACAUACAUAUCCAAUUAAUUGACUGGUGCAGAAGUUCAGAUAGUUUUCUUAGUUCCUUCGCUUUGAAGAUGAAAGCUAGAUUUGAUAAAUACUGGAGCAAGUGCAGUUUAGCUCUAGCAGUAGCGGCUAUCUUAGAUCCCCGGUUUAAAAUGAAGUUAGUUGAAUAUUACUACUCCCAGAUUUACGGCAGCACUGCUUUGGAUCGUAUCAAGGAAGUUUCUGAUGGUAUCAAAGAACUUUUCAAUGCAUACACUAUCUGUUCAACGAUGGUUGAUCAAGGUUCGGCUUUGCCAGGCAGCAGCUUACCUAGUACAAAUAAUGAAACUAGGGAUAGACUAAAAGGUUUUGACAAAUUUCUCCAUGAGACUUCUCAAGGUCAGAGCCUUACAUCAGACUUGGACAAGUAUCUAGAGGAACCAAUCUUUCCUCGUAACUCUGAUUUCAACAUAUUGAAUUGGUGGAAAGUCCACACACCAAGGUAUCCAAUCUUGUCAAUGAUGGCACGUGACAUUCUUGCGACUCCCAUGUCAACAGUGGCUCCAGAAUUGGCAUUUAGUGCUGGAGGAAGAAUGCUAGAUCCCAGUCGUAGUUCACUAAACCCUGAUAUACGACAAGCUUUAAUAUGCACUCAAGAUUGGCUCCGAAAUGAAUCAGGAGAUUUUAGUACGUCCGCAAGUGCUUCUGCCCUACCUCUACCACUUCUCAUUGAGCCAAGUUAACCUUUCCAGAAAAUGUCAGGUCUUAAAGAAGCUGCAUUGGGGUUUUCAAGUAAACCGUUUGUUUCUUCUUCCUGAUCAUAUGUUGCUGAGAGGUAGUCAAUAAACCAAACUUGCAAGAACCCUAUCAUGAGUUGCUUUUGUCUGCAGUUUUGAGAUAUACACUCAAUUGUUACCAGUUACCAAUUAAGCCAUUUUAUAACACUGGAAUGAUCAAAUGGAUCGGAUCUUGUGUAUUGGAGUGUUCAGGCUAGAUUGCAUCGAUCUCAAGCAUCUGAAAUGGCUUCGUGUCUACUGACAACGAUUAUAUGCUUCCAUAGGAGUACGGCUUUCUCAUGCAGUCCUCCAUACCUCAAGACUCUCAAGUUACGACAAAGAAAAACAAAAAAGAGCAUGGUGACGUUGGAUACAUGUGAUGUGAGGAUAUUUCUAUUUCAGAGGUAACAUAUAAUGGGCAUCGGAAUGUACCAUACCAUGAAAAGGAGAAAUCCCUAGUCCCUAUAGUUAUGGGACGGAUUGGACUUUGAAGAGCAUUUAGGUUUUAAGACUUUUUUGUUUUAUUAACGUAAAGUAAAGUAAAAAAUAAAAUUUGUCAGUGCACAUUACA